rnacentral:rRNA from 1 species
AGUGAACGCUGGCGGUAGGCCUAACACAUGCAAGUCGAACGGCAGCACAGUAAGAGCUUGCUCUUACGGGUGGCGAGUGGCGGACGGGUGAGGAAUACAUCGGAAUCUACUUUUUCGUGGGGGAUAACGUAGGGAAACUUACGCUAAUACCGCAUACGACCUACGGGUGAAAGCAGGGGAUCUUCGGACCUUUCGCGAUUGAAUGAGCCGAUGUCGGAUUAGCUAGUUGGCGGGGUAAAGGCCCACCAAGGCGACGAUCCGGAGCUGGUCUGAGAGGAUGAUCAGCCAAACUGGAACUGAAACACGGUCCAGACUCCUACGAGAGGCAGCAGUGGGGAAUAUUGGACAAUGGGCGCAAGCCUGAUCCAGCCAUACCGCGUGGGUGAAGAAGGCCUUCGGGUUGUAAAGCCCUUUUGUUGGGAAGGAACAGCAGCAGGUUAAUACCCCGCUGUUCUGACGGUACCCAAAGAAUAAGCACCGGCUAACUUCGUG